UACAGAGGUCUCAAGCGUUGUUCGGAAUCACUGGGCGUAAAGGGUGCGUAGGUGGCGUGGCAAGUCAGAUGUGAAAGCCCGGGGCUCAACCUCGGAAUAGCAUCCGAUACUCCCAUGCUAGAGUACUGAAGAGGUGACUAGAAUUCUCGGUGUAGCAGUGAAAUGCGUAGAUAUCGAGAGGAAUACCAACGGCGAAGGCAGGUCACUGGGCAGUUACUGACACUGAGGCACGAAGGCCAGGGGAGCAAACGGG
rnacentral:rRNA from 1 species